rnacentral:lncRNA from 1 species
GAGUCUGGCCGGAGAUGCUGGUAGUUUGGAGCCGUCUCAGAUAUUGCAUGCCCCGAAAACUCCGACAGCACCUGGUAAACUUUCAUGUCUGCGCUGUACUCUAGGAUCUUCCCAUCAGGUCUCAUAAUCUUUGUAACAUUUUCUUGCAUAACCAAGCAAUUCCCCAUGCUUGUGUUUUAUCACAACUUGGAAAACAAAACUGUGGUUAGAAAAGUUGGGUAUUAUGAGUGGGGUGGUGGGAAUAUAGAUGGGGUGUAUAUAAAGGAGAUGGAUACAAUCCUCCCCUUCAUAUUGCUCAAUAUUACAGAUAUGCCCUGUUUCUCCCUGGACCCCACCUUUUUUGUUUUUUGAGCAUUGAGCUAUGAACUUGUAGAGUUAUGAUUGAUGAGUCAAUAUUAUACUAUAUAUACUAUAAUAUUUUUAGUAUAUUUGGUAAUUAUUUUGAUAGAAUUUUAACACUUUGCUUUAUAUUUUUAAUAUAGGACAUUCAACUUCUUCUGAAGAAAAACAUGAUCAAACAGACGAAUUUUAAAGUGAUUCAAAUUGGAGGACAUUCAUGAGUCGCUUAGCUUGAAUCUAUCAAAAUAUCAGAUUUUUCCACAAAAAGGUUAUUUUCUGGUGAGGAAAUAAAGAAGCAAUGUGCGGUUCUAUAAAGUGACUUUUUGGGCUUAAUUGCGAUUUUUUUUAGCCCAAGAUGACCUCUAAUGGGUUCAUGGCCUUCUGGAUAAGUGUUCAUAAUAGUCCAAGCUUUAAAUCUAGCUAUUUUUUGUCGGUUUUGGAGUAGAUAUGGGUCCACAAUGUGGCUGUGCAGAUUUUGGGCUAAUUAUCAUAGUCAAUUUAGUAUUAUGUUUCUUAAUUUAUUUUAAUUUAUUUGGUUUCUUAGUUUUAUUAUAAGUCCCUUUCUAGAAAGGAUUGGAUUUUCUAGGUAGUAUAAAU